AUAAAUUCAUGACAUAAUUGUGUUUUGGUGAUAGUGAUGUGUUUGUAGAUCUUACUUUACUGAACAUUCUUGUUGCUACAAAUAUCUCUUGUCUAUAAUGAACUUGGCCCAGUAAUUACAGUGGAAAAUAUUUUCUACAAAUUUACAAAAAUUUAUGAAAAAUGUUAAAAAUUAACUAUAAAGGGCAAUAACUUCCUUAAGGGGUCAAUUGACUAUUUUGGUCAUGUAAACUUAUUUGUAGAUCUUAUUUUGCUGAACGUUAUUGCUGUAUACAGUUUAUCUCUAUCUAUAAUAAUAUUCAAGAUAAUAACAAAAAACGGCAAAAUUUCCUUAAAAUUACCAAUUAAGGACAGUAACCUAACAACGGGUUGUCCGAUCCAUGUGAAAACAUCAGGGCAGAUAGAUCUUGACCUGAUAAACAAUUAAACCCUGUCAGAUUUUCUCUUAAUGCUUCGGUUUUUGAGUUAUAAGCCAAAAACUGCAUUUUACCCCUAUGUUCUAUUAUUAGCCGUGGCAGCCAUUUCGGUUGAUUGGCCAGGUCACGCCACACAUUUUUUAAACAAAUUACCCCAAUGAUGAUUGUGGCAAAGCUUAGUUUAAUUUGGCC
rnacentral:lncRNA from 1 species